rnacentral:rRNA from 1 species
UACGGAGGGGGACUAGCGUUGUUCGGAAUUACUGGGCGUAAAGCGCACGUAGGCGGAUUUGUUAGUCAGGGGUGAAAUCCCCGGGGCUCAACCUCGGAACUGCCUUUGAUACUGCAAAUCUCGAGUCCGGAAGAGGUGAGUGGAAUUCCUAGUGUAGAGGUGAAAUUCGUAGAUAUUAGGAAGAACACCAGUGGCGAAGGCGGCUCACUGGUCCGGUACUGACGCUGAGGUGCGAAAGCGUGGGGAGCAAACAGGG